CAGCGUGCGGAAGAGCCGGGGGGCGGUGCGUCUCGGCCCCACGCGCUCCUCUGCGCGUCGCCCUCGCCCUCCGGGUCGGAUCGCGCUGACGGCACAGGUCGGGCUGAGUUUGCCCCCCCGGUGCCGACGGCCGAGAUCUGAGCUGGCGUAUCUUGGGCACGCGCAGGCUGGCGUCUGUGACGGGCAGGGGACGCGCGGGGAGGGCCCCUGGCCGGGGAGGGGAGGCCCCGUUUGAGGGUCCCUGGCCGGGGCCGGUUUCAGGGUCUCCGAGGACCCCGAGCGUCCCCCGCACCGUGGGCCCACCUCGCGCGGUGCCCCCGGGGACCAGCCUGACCGGGGGUUGGGGGCAGUGUCCCCCGGAGGGAGGAGACAGGAAAGUGGGGUCAUUAUUUCCUCAUUUUUUAAAUAAUGUCAUCGUUUUCCACUGUGUGGCUAGAUCAUAAUUCAUUUAACUAGUGGUUUAUUGAUGGACGCUUGAUGGACCCAAACAUCUUUGAAUGUUAUAGACAUUUUGCUCAAUGUCAUUUUGGCACAUGAAGGAUCCUUGGGCUGCUAGUGGGAGGUGGACUCAGAGACUGAGGAAAAUCAGGAGACCAAAGAGGAGGUGACUGCAAUAGUCCAGUUUCCUUUUAAUGGGAGGAUAAUUGCUUACGAUGCUGUGUCGGUCUCUGCCAUCCAGCAACAUGAGGCAGUCUGAUUACCAAGGUCAUGGACCUCUUCCAAAGAGAUAAAUCGUGCACCUGUCCAAAGAGAAGAAAAUCAACGACAGCCAUGAAUCUGCUUAAGGAACCUGUGCUCAUAAACCCUGUUUGCAGGCUCUGUACAUUGAGAGCAGUGUUUCUCAACUGGGAUGAUUUUGCGCGCCCCCCCCCCCCCCCCGGGGACAUUUGGCAAUGCCUUGAAGCACUUGCAGCUGUCACACCUGGGGGUGGUGAUACGCCGCUGGCAUUGCAUGGGAAGAGGCCGGGAACGCCGCCAAACCCUACCAGGCACAGAACAGAGAAUUCUCUGGCCCAAAAUGUCAGUAGGGCUGAAGAUGAAAAACUGUGACCUAUGGGUAAACUGGGGAGAGACACCGCGCUCAGUUGUAACUGGAGCACCCCUCCCCAGAUCUACAGUUCACCCCAACAAUUCUCUCUCCCCAGCUACCCUGAAAAACCCUGCUCCUAUAGGCACAGGGAGGGUCAGCCAAGUCUGUUCGCGAUGGCUUCAAAUUGGAACCAGCCCCCAUGGCCUGUCAGGAGGAGACUGAUAAACAGUGUGGUCACAUGGUG